UUAAUAAGCAGAGGAAAAGAAACUAACAAGGAUUAGCCUAGUAACGGCGAGUGAAGAGCUAAUGGUCCAUCUUUGAAUCGUCAUUCAUGAUGAAUUGUGUUAUUUAGGUCAUUUUGUUUGUCAGGCUGACAAAGUCUCCUGGAAUGGAGCAGCAUAGAAGGUGAGACUCCUUUUUGUCAGCUACCAAUAAAUAUGUCCGUUGAGUCGAGUUGUUUGGGAUUGCAGCUCCAACUGGGUGGUAACAUCCAUCUAAGGCAAAAUAUAAGGGAGAGGCCAAUAGCAUACAAGUACCAUGAGGGAAAGAUGCAAAGCCGCGCGAAAGCGCUGUCAAAGAGUACCUGAAAUUGCUGAAAUGGAAGUAAAGAAAACUAGUGUAGGCCAUCUUGCAUUUCUUCCUUUGCUUGCAAAUGGAGCGCUGCAGAUAGCCCCGUCUAAGUCACUGCUCUGCAGCAGACACUGUUGUCAUCCUGCAGACUAUUGAUUGAGAUAAAAUGGUUUUCUUUUUCCCG
rnacentral:rRNA from 1 species